CAUAAGAAAAAAAGUACUAGAUCAAACAAAUCUUUAUGCAGAUUUAGAAAGUAAAAUAAAUACAUUUGUAUAUACUAUUGAAAAAAAAAAUAAAGAGGAAAAUCGCAUUAUUAAGAAAUUGAAUCAACAAUUAAGAGAUGUUAUAAAUAAAUUUAAAAUUUUGGAACAAGAAUUAAGUGAAACUAUUGAUUUAACUGAAAAAUUAGGAUAAGCCAGCAGAAAAAACUUAAGGCAGCCUGUCUUUUCUGUAUUUAAAAUUAUUUUAUAAUUCUAAAAUUUGUAUAAUUCAUUUUUAACAUUUUAAUAAAAGUAUGUUUUUAUAAAAU